rfam:Oryza nivara chromosome 11, whole genome shotgun sequence.
AAAAAAAACAAACCCUGGUUUCCAUGCCCAAUAUUUGACUGCCCGUCUUAUUUGAAAAAAAUAUGAAAAAAAAUAAAAAGGCAAGUCACGUAUAAAAUAUUAAUCAUGUUUUAUCAUCUAACGACAAUGAAAAUACGAAUUAUAAAAAAAAUUUCAUAUAAAACGGAUAGUCAAAGUUGAACACGAAAGCCCAUGGUUUAUCUUUUU